GAGUUUGAUCUUGGCUCAGAUUGAACGCUGGCGGCAUGCCUUACACAUGCAAGUCGAACGGCAGCAUGAUCUAGCUUGCUAGAUUGAUGGCGAGUGGCGAACGGGUGAGUAAUACACCGGAACGUGCCCUGUAGUGGGGGAUAACUAGUCGAAAGAUUAGCUAAUACCGCAUACGACCUGAGGGUGAAAGUGGGGGACCGCAAGGCCUCAUGCUAUAGGAGCGGCCGAUGUCUGAUUAGCUAGUUGGUGGGGUAAAGGCCCACCAAGGCGACGAUCAGUAGCUGGUCUGAGAGGACGAUCAGCCACACUGGGACUGAGACACGGCCCAGACUCCUACGGGAGGCAGCAGUGGGGAAUUUUGGACAAUGGGCGAAAGCCUGAUCCAGCAAUGCCGCGUGUGUGAAGAAGGCCUCGGUU
rnacentral:rRNA from 1 species